UGUCUCUGUCUUGUAAUCAGAUCGGAUAAAUCUUUCGCCUUUUACUAAAGAUUUCCGUGGCUGCGGGACACUAAGGAGACUAAUCAUAAUUUUUUGUCACCUCUUGGUUUUGAUUAA
rfam:Phycomyces blakesleeanus NRRL 1555(-) unplaced genomic scaffold PHYBLscaffold_12, whole genome shotgun sequence.